AAUCUCUCCAAUCCCUCCCCAACCAAAUUCCGAUUUAGUAUACACAUUGAGUCAGUUCUAGAUAACACACAUACUCUUUAAAGUUGUUAUACGAUGAAGACGAAGAUAGUAUGGAUUCGUGAAUUUUUAAGAUUUCGAUGAGGUUUUAUUUUUUCGUCAGUUCGGGCAACACCAGAUAGUCUUGAAAAAUCUCCCUCCGCCCUAAAGCUCAAUGAAGAAGAGUGGAUGCACACGCUCCUUGAAGGAUAAUGGUAAUUGCGUUGACUAGGUAAAAUUGGGCAAAAAAUUGUGCACCCUCUUAUUUCCUUUCUCUGUCUACAAAUCCCUAAUCAUGUUCUCGCACCUGCCCUUCUUCUAACAAAAGAGGAUUAAUAAUCAAUUUUAUGAGCUUUCUUAAACCUCUUCAUCACAAAUUUAUGAGCUUGAGAAUUUAUCGAGACGAGUUUAUUCCAAAUAUUGACUUGUGUUUUUGGGUUAGUGAGAAUUUGGAUGAAUAUACUCCAUCUCUUUAUAAUAUAAGCAUCGAUAGUUGAUAUCUAUGGUUUUAUUUCUAGGAUUUGGCUUUCAAAUUACCAGGGUGCAAAAGCUGCAACUCUUGCCUUUAUGCAUGUAUAUACAAUGGAGAUUUGUACAAUAAUUAUCUAUGCAAAAACUAAUCGUAUGAAGAUUUGUUUAGUAAGGAAAGCAGCAAAUGAGGAAGGUUCGAAUUAGGAU
rnacentral:lncRNA from 1 species